GACUCCGUAGCUCAGCUGGUAGAGCAACAGACUCUUAAUCUGUGGGUCGUGGGUUCGAUCCCCACCGGGGUCA
rnacentral:tRNA from 1 species